AUGGGGGGGGGGGACCGGCAUGAAGGGGAUUAUUUUACAAAAAAUAAAAAGAGGAGGAGAGGGCAGGGGGAGGGGGAGAGGCGACCAGAAAAUGUAAAUAAUAAUAAUAAUGUGACAAGGGGUCCUGGGAGCAGAGGGGAGGGGGCCCGUGGCAAGCACCUGGGAGGAAGGCGCUGUGGCAGCUGCCUCCGGCUGCGUCGGGCCGGGUGGUUUUCCACAAAAGGAACUUUGGAAGGAGCGCAGAGGUUGGCAAGGGAGGAGAGGGAGACCGCAGCGUUACCUGGCCGAGGCGGUGCCGGCGGGCCGCGGAAAUCCUCAGCUUAGGAAGCUACUCCUUUUCUUUUCCUUCCUGGCCCAGGAGAACACCCUUGAAUGUGUACCCCAGCCUCUACUCCCGCGUGAGCCAUCCAAAGGCUUAAUCUUUCCUCUACUGCUGAGACCAAGAGAGACAGAGCAGAAGGAAGAACCCAGCGUAGCCCUUUCGCAUCCCCAGGUGAAACCAGCUUUCUGCGCGCAGUUCUGUUGCUAGAAAGAAGGCUGAGAUCAUAUUCCCUACACACAGCCCAAAGAGAAUGUGUGAACCCAGUGAGAUGGUUUGAUGCCACCACAUAUUUGCUCCAAGAACCAGGUAAAUUAUGAUCAGGCGGUUUAUUUGUCGUUGUAAACACUUUUCGCUGUUUGGAAUGCUGAACAGUCUCUUUGUGGUACCAGUUCAACCCUAAUUUUGCCCUGGAGGAGAGGCAAUAAGGGGACUUUGCUUUUCAUCCCAUUCUUGCCAAAGUGACUCCACAGAGUGACACUUGCACAGAGUUGGAAAGGUUCUAUGAGUAAGAACGGUGGGAACUCCACUGGUUGGUGGAAGGCAUUCUGAGAAGGAACGAGGGACACCUGGAUUCACAGCAUCUCGUGGGCAGGGUUUGUGUGUCAGUCCUCUGUGUUACACUGCAUAAACCCCCACAGAGCACACACGCCACCGUCUAACUCAAGUUUCUCUCCAGCAUCUCCCAUGGUCCUUCCUCCCAGCAGUCACAUCUCCUCCAGGGUCUCUCACACCCCUCUUUAACUUGCUUCCAGAGUAAACCUUUGAAACAAAUAAGUCAUGUAAGCCUUGCCUACAAAUAUUUCCCCAGUUCAUGUCCUUCAGGAAAGUGACCAAAUGUCUGAUUACAGCAUAGGAUGGUGUCUCAAGUCCACUGGUGCUACUGUAACAAAAUACCUGAAACAGGGUAAUUUAUAAAUAACAGGAACAUGUUGUUCACAGUUGUGCAGGGUGAGAGGUACAAGGCCAAGUGCUGGCAGGUUCAGUUUUCCAAUGAGGACCAGACCUCAGCUUCCAAAAUGACACUUCGAACAGAAGGGCAGAAACACAGUGAGCUCCAAGAACCCUCUUUUAUAAGGCCCUUAAUCCCAUCCAGGCAGGAGGAUCCCUCAUGACCUAAUCUGUCUAAAGCCCCCAUCCCUUACUACUAUUGCCUUGGGGUUUGUUUCAACAUGAAUUUUGUUGAGAUGCAAAAUUUCCAGUCAUAACCAGCAGUGUUUCUCAUACUUCAGCAUGCAUCACAAUCACAACUAGGACUUGCUUAAACAAACAUUUGUAAACUCCAGGCCCAGCGUCUCUUAUUCGGUGGGUCAAGGUAGCACACACGAAAUGUUAAAUCUACCAAGCUCCCACGUGGUGCUCAUGCUAAUGAUCUGUGGACCCCUCUUUGAGAAACGUGGGCAUAGAUCUUGUGUGAUCUGGCUUCUGCCUACUCUUCCUGCUUCUUCCCUCACACCUGCUCCUCAGUUCCCAUUGGGUCAGAAUCCUUUGGGGUGCCUCCCCAAACACACCCAAGCACCAAAUCUGAGUUUCAGUACCACUCCUCCAUGGCUGACUUUGGACCCACGUUUCAAACCUUAGGCAGAGCAGCUACAUGUUUAUUUGUCUGCUUCCUCACUGGGUUGUGUGCGGCAAGGGUGGUUUAUUUAUCCCUGUAUCCACAAGUUCUUAGCGUCUUGGCUGAGAUGUAUAGCAGCUCAAAAAUGUUGAGGUGGGUAGAAGAAAGAAGCGAGAGGAAUAGGAAUAGAGAUAAUGUUUUUGGUUGUUGAUGAUCAUGAUGAUGAUUUAAAAAGCUAGUAGUAAUAAGAGAAAAGAUGGGAAAAGGAGAGAAUUCAUAUAGCUGACUCCUUAAUAUGCAGUAGGUACCAGGUUAAAUGCAUUGCAUGCUACCUCAUCUAUUCCUCAAAACAAUCGUGAGCGACAAGUGUUUGACAAAAUGAUUAAAAAAAAAAAAAAAACACUGCUGGGACACUCACAUCACAUACUGGAAUGCCUGGGUUCAAGUCACAGCUUCACUACAAUCCCAGCUUCUUGUCAAUGAGCACCCUGGCAGGCGGAGAUCUUGGGAGACCUAGGUGGAAUUCCCAGCUUCUGGCACUUCCCAGCCUCGACUGUUGAGGGCAUUUGGGGAAUCCAUCAGCAGAUAUAAAAUCUCUCUCUCUGCAUUUGAAAUACAUAAUAAAUGAAAUUUUAAAAAAAGACA
ensembl:lncRNA